rnacentral:tRNA from 1 species
CGAGGUGUGGCUCAGUUGGUAGAGCGCGUGGUUUGGGACCAUGAGGCCGCAGGUUCGAUCCCUGUCACCUCGACCA